rnacentral:rRNA from 1 species
UACGCAUGGGGCAAGCGUUAUCCGGAUUUACUGGGUGUAAAGGGAGCGUAGGCGGUACGGCAAGUCAGAAGUGAAAGCCUGGGGCUCAACCCCGGAAUUGCUUUUGAAACUGUCGAACUAGAGUGUCGGAGGGGUAAGCGGAAUUCCUAGUGUAGCGGUGAAAUGCGUAGAUAUUAGGAGGAACACCGGUGGCGAAGGCGGCUUACUGGACGACCACUGACGCUGAGGCUCGAAAGCGUGGGGAGCAAACAGG